rnacentral:rRNA from 1 species
AUUGAACGCUGGCGGCAUGCCUUACACAUGCAAGUCGAACGGCAGCAUAGGAGCUUGCUCCUGAUGGCGAGUGGCGAACGGGUGAGUAAUAUAUCGGAACGUGCCCUAGAGUGGGGGAUAACUAGUCGAAAGACUAGCUAAUACCGCAUACGAUCUACGGAUGAAAGUGGGGGAUCGCAAGACCUCAUGCUCCUGGAGCGGCCGAUAUCUGAUUAGCUAGUUGGUGGGGUAAAAGCUCACCAAGGCGACGAACAGUAGCUGGUCUGAGAGGACGACCAGACACACUGGGACUGAGACACGGCCCAGACUCCUACGGGAGGCAGCAGUGGGGAAUUUUGGACAAUGGGGGCAACCCUGAUCCAGCAAUGCCGCGUGAGUGAAGAAGGCCUUCGGGUUGUAAAGCUCUUUUGUCAGGGAAGAAACGGUUCUGGAUAAUACCUGGGACUAAUGACGGCACCUGAAGAAUAAGCACCGGCUAACUACGUGCCAGCCGCCGCCGUAA